rnacentral:rRNA from 1 species
GACGUAGGAGGCGAGCGUUGUCCGGAUUCAUUGGGCGUAAAGAGCGCGCAGGCGGCUUGGUAAGUCGGAUGUGAAAACCCGCGGCUCAACUGUGGGCUUGCAGUCGAUACGGGCAGGCUAGAGUUCGGUAGGGGAGACUGGAAUUCCUGGUGUAGCGGUGAAAUGCGCAGAUAUCAGGAGGAACACCGGUGGCGAAGGCGGGUCUCUGGGCCGAUACUGACGCUGAGGAGCGAAAGCGUGGGGAGCGAACAGG